CUAGCGUAUAUUUAAGUUGUUGCAGCUAAAAAGUCUCGUAGUUGGAUUUCGGUUAAGAGCGACCGGUCCGCCGUUUGGUGUGCACUGGUUGGUUUUAACUUCCUGUAGAGGACGUGCUCUGGGCUUAACGGUCUGGACUCGGAGUCUACGUGGUUACUUUGAAAAAAUUAGAGUGUUCAAAGCGGGCUUACGCUUGAAUAUUUCAGCAUGGAAUAACACUAUAGGACUCCUGUCCUAUUUCGUUGGUCUCGGGACGGGAGUAAUGAUUAAGAGGAACAGUUGGGGGCAUUCGUAUUUCAUUGUCAGAGGUGAAAUUCUUGGAUUUAUGAAAGACGAACUUCUGCGAAAGCAUUUGCCAAGGAUGUUUUCAUUAAUCAAGAACGAAAGUUGGGGGCUCGAAGAUGAUUAGAUACCAUCCUAGUCUCAACCAUAAACGAUGCCGACUAGGGAUUGGCGGAUGUUAAUUGAUGACUCCGCCAGCACCUUAUGAGAAAUCAAAG
rnacentral:rRNA from 1 species